GAUGAACGCUGGCGGCGUGCCUAAUACAUGCAAGUCGAGCGAACGGACGAGAAGCUUGCUUUUCUGAUGUUAGCGGCGGACGGGUGAGUAACACGUGGAUAACCUACCUAUAAGACUGGGAUAACUUCGGGAAACCGGAGCUAAUACCGGAUAAUAUUUUGAACCGCAUGGUUCAAAAGUGAAAGACGGUCUUGCUGUCACUUAUAGAUGGAUCCGCGCUGCAUUAGCUAGUUGGUAAGGUAACGGCUUACCAAGGCAACGAUGCAUAGCCGACCUGAGAGGGUGAUCGGCCACACUGGAACUGAGACACGGUCCAGACUCCUACGGGAGGCAGCAGUAGGGAAUCUUCCGCAAUGGGCGAAAGCCUGACGGAGCAACGCCGCGUGAGUGAUGAAGGUCUUCGGAUCGUAAAACUCUGUUAUUAGGGAAGAACAUACGUGUAAGUAACUGUGCACAUCUUGACGGUACCUAAUCAGAAAGCCACGGCCAACUACGUG
rnacentral:rRNA from 1 species